rnacentral:tmRNA from 2 species
GGGGGCGACCUGGCUUCGACGCGGGUUGCGAAACCUGAUGUGCAUGUAGAGGGACAGAUUACCUCUCAAAACCAGCUGUAACACUUAUAGUUGCCAACGACGACAACUACGCAUUAGCUGCUUAAAAACCAGUUUUAAUGCCCUCGGCCUGAUGUGUGCUUAUGCGCUCAGAUCACCGGGGUCAUCCACAUAAGAUCGCGAUGAAGCACGUUCGGGGCGGAUUCGUUAAAACCUAACCGGAAUCGCUGUACGUUUUCCCUGCCCGUCGGGUAGCAUGCAGUUAAAUAAAAAGACGUGGAUAAACAUGUAGAGCAGAAGGCAGAGGACUUGCGGACGCGGGUUCGAUUCCCGCCGCCUCCACCA